UACGUAGGCAGCGAGCGUUGUUCGGAAUUACUGGGCGUAAAGAGUGUGUAGGCGGUGCUCUAAGUUCGGUGUGAAAUCUCCCGCUUAACUGGGAGGGUGCGCCGGAAACUGGAGUGCUCGAGCGUGGGAGAGGAAAGCGGAAUUCCUGGUGUAGCGGUGAAAUGCGUAGAUAUCAGGAGGAACACCUGCGGUGUAGACGGCUUUCUGGACCAUUGCUGACGCUGAGACACGAAAGCGUGGGUAGCAAACGGG
rnacentral:rRNA from 1 species